CCAUCGCCGCCUGGAUCGCCGUCGUCGGGCCUCCUUGCCGUCGCCAGUCCUGCUUGUUUUGUCGCCGGGAAACUCGUCGCCGUUGGGGUUGCACCGCCGCUGUUCCUGCUGUGGCUGGUGUCGCACCAGAGAACCAUCAUCGCAGGUUGAGGCUAACCCUUUUUGCUGUCGUUCAUCGUUGCUGCAGCUGACUUGCGGCUGUUGGAUCUGAUCGGAGAGGUGGGUGGUGAUGGCGGUGGAUGUUGGUGCUGGUUAGCGCGUCACUACUGCUGGCUGUUUUGAGCUGCUCUGCCGUCUCUGCCACCGGAUAAUGUAGCUUAGUCGCCGGAAAAGUUUGCCGUUGUCGUGAUCGGAAUUUGUCGCCGCUGCCGCUUGAGGUGGCUGCCGCUGAACCGGUUCAGAGACCGCCGCUAUUUCGGAUCAGCCGCUCUUUCUUCGGUUCGAGUUGUUGAGACUGUUGCGAAAGUGGCUUGGAGCUGAGGUUUUGGUUGCCGGUGAUUUCGAGUCGAGGCGGAAAGGAUUCUGUGACGCGUUUGGGCUAUGGUUUUGUGUUUUGAGGAUAUGGGCGCAGAAGUUACGAAGAAUUUAUUUAGUUAUUGUUGUGAUGUUCUGUAUUGUUUUGGAUUAUUAGUUAUUGUACCCUCGCCUUUAUCUUGAUAUAUUCUGUAAGAGGGAUAGGAAUUGUAUUGGUUACUGUUUGUAAUAUCAUUUAUAUAUAUGUAUGUAUAUAUAUAUGGAUGUGCUCUUUAUGAGUUUCUGUAAGUUGUAUGGUAUGUAUGGAUAUUCGUUGUAUAGCAAAAGUAGUUUUGGGAGCGGUAUUGCGGUUUAAAGUUUUAAACAGGCUCAUAUUUUAGUAUCAAAUAGCAUAAGUGUCAUCGUAAUGUCCGAGCUAUCAGAGUUGCGCAGCCGGAAGCGUGAGCUUUGGUAGUUAGGGUGUUACAUUAUGGUAUCAGAGCAGUUCUUCCUGUAGAGCCUGAGGAAUGGACUGACUAUGCUUCGAUUGCAUGCUCUGGGCGUUUGUCAUGUAUUAGGUCUUGUCGAAUGAUGAGAAUUAGAGCUUUAUGCACAUGACGAUCUAUUGAUUUAAUGCUGUUAGUCUCGCAUUGCAUAAUUCUUGGUAUUAAGUUUGGCCGGCUUAAUACUAGUGAAUUAUGUAUAUGAGAGCACUAAUGGGUUAUCAUAGAUGGUAUACGAGUUUUGAGUUAAGCGAAUCGCGGGUUCUGGGAACGUUGAAACUAUUUCUCGAGGCUAUUCAGUUGUGUGUUUUGGAAUUUGUUCGAGUCGACCUGUUCUUUCAUGUCCUAACUUGAAAUUCUUGUUUGCUACUCCUCUUGAAAAGUAGUUUGAUGUUUCUACUCUAUUCCUUUAUUCAUAUGCAUUCUUGUUUGAUCCUAAGUGCAUAUGCUUGUUUGAGAUCCUUGUUGUAUCUAUCUUUCUCUGUUUGAGUUCUUUUGAUUCACGUAUCCUUUGAUAUAGCUUUGAACUUGUCUUAAUGCACUGUGCCUUUUUAA